GGUUACCCAAAAAUUAUCUUUGCGCUUGGGGCAAUGUCGCAGCUAGUGAGGUUAUAACCGAGGCGCGACAAUUGCUGGUUGAAAACUAUUUCCAAACCCCCUCGUAGGCCUGGGUUCAGCCCAGCGCUUUCGAGAAUUUCUGGAAGGGCUCCCUCUAACCAAGGGUAAAGCCCUGCAAUACUUAAUUGCCAGACGCGUUGUUCCUCUCCAGAAUUGGUGCUGAAUAACCCCCGAUUCGGCGCUUCCGGCUCUGUUAUUUGGCGAUUAGCCUCAGCUAUUCAUUCCGCUGCCGCAUGAUUCUUCUCCUUUUCCCCGUCGCUGCCCUCGGCUCUUCUUGUCCCCUUGAUUGAGCCGUAGUGAUUGCGGUUAAAGGUUCCGGGUCAUAAAGAAUCGAUGGAGAGACAUCUACCUAUUCUGCUUAUAGAUCUGCUUGUACUGCACAAGGGGAAGAGCGUGAAUUACUCCUGCUAUGAUUGCUGCAACCCAUCACCUACUCUUACUGCCUCAGCAGAGGAAUCUACAAAACCAAGAAGCACCCAAAACUCCGGGUCAAUUUGACAGGACUGCUGUAUUAGCAACUCAAACUAGCAGGUCCAAUUAUUCCCCUGGCAGGCGCUCUUUGGAAAAUAUACUUCUCCAUUUUUUCUUACCUUAUAACAUCUCUCUAUCGUGGCCACUUUUUAUACAAGAUCUCUGCUAUCCAAUCGACUCGGGUUCGUCAAGACAGAUCAGGGCCAUCAGAUCUCUGCUUUCUCAAUGAGGAAAGGAAACCAUGCUGUUCAUAGAGUGAUAACAAUGGAUAGACUUGACAUUGAUAUGGGAGCUUUUAUUUGGAUCUGAAAAGAUUGCCUUCUUUUUUUCUCUUCCUUUCCCUUUUUUUUUUGUCAACUUUGUAACUGUUCAUGAAGAAAUUAAUAUCUAGAAUAACAAAUAUUAUACUUUCAAA